rnacentral:rRNA from 1 species
AUUGAACGCUGGCGGCAUGCCUUACACAUGCAAGUCGAACGGUAACGCGGGGCAACCUGGCGACGAGUGGCGAACGGGUGAGUAAAGCAUCGGAACGUGCCCAGUAGUGGGGGAUAGCCCGGCGAAAGCCGGAUUAAUACCGCAUACGACCUACGGGUGAAAGGGGGGGAUCGCAAGACCUCCCGCUAUUGGAGCGGCCGAUGUCAGAUUAGGUAGUUGGUGGGGUAAAGGCCUACCAAGCCUGCGAUCUGUAGCUGGUCUGAGAGGACGACCAGCCACACUGGGACUGAGACACGGCCCAGACUCCUACGGGAGGCAGCAGUGGGGAAUUUUGGACAAUGGGCGCAAGCCUGAUCCAGCCAUGCCGCGUGCGGGAAGAAGGCCUUCGGGUUGUAAACCGCUUUUGUCAGGGAAGAAAAGCCUUGGGUUAAUACCCUGGGGUGAUGACGGUACCUGAAGAAUAAGCACCGGCUAACUACGUGCCAGCAGCCGCAGUAA